ensembl:lncRNA zinc finger protein 728-like
AACGGAAGUGGAAGUCUACCUUGCUAAUGCUAAACAUUAUUACAGUUUUUGACCAAAAUGCCUCAAUGUAUUAUCACUCAAUGUAUAAAUCGAUACAAGGAAAAUUCCAACACUGAAUUUUUUAAAGUACCGAGCUGGACUGAGUCGUUUGAACGGAGACGUUUGUGGGCUCAGGCGAUACGGGAGGCAGGCUGCCAUGCCCACUGGUGGACGGCACACAUCUGUAGUGCUCAUUUUAAAUCAGGAGCAGUUUCUCAGGACGUAGAUAAUGAUGAUUUUGUGCCCUCUGUGUUUACUCCUGUGAGAGAAUGUGUCGGUCACAUUGUCCACAACAAGGAAUCUAAAGAAUCUAAAAAGGGGGAAAGAGUCAAAAGAGGAAAUGGACGACGGCUCGCUGUUCAACCAAUGCAGAGACAAAGGAAACAAGGAAUGGUUCAGGAGACGGAAACAGUGACUGAAGAGGCAAAGAUUGAGACAAAAACUGAAGCAUUCUGUCCACAAACAAAAUGUAGUUUAUCAUCAAUUACAAAUCCAGCAGGCAUCACAGAACUAAGUGGGAAAAAAUCUAUUGUUCACCUCAAACGUCUCAUUACUGCAGCUGGCUGCUAUCGAUGUGAAAAGUGCUGCCAGACUUUCACCAUUGCAUCACAGUUGGUUAAACACAUUCUGCUGCAUGAAGGUCCUGAGGAGUCAUUUAUGUGUGAAGUCUGUGGCGAGCAAUACUCGAGUCGAGCUGAUUUUACCGAUCACCAAGCAAACCACCCAAAGAUCGAGCCCGGCUUUAUCUGCAACAUCUGCCAUAAGAAUUUCAGCACACCUCAGAACCUCGAAAACCACAAGCUGCUCCACUUCAAAGAUUACAGACGGUGUUUCAAGUGUGGCGUGAAGUUCUGUCAUAUUCACAAUCCCAGUUCACUCCGUCCUCAGGCUGAGGCUGAGAGAGCUAACGAGAAAGUCAACAAGGUACAAACUCAUCAGAUACAAGAACAAAAAAGUCCAGAGAAGACGGAACCAAACCAAAAGGAAGAACUUUUAAAGAACGUUGUGCUUCCGUCCAAAGCUCCUCCUGCUCUCCUUCUGCAGCUUUCUUCUCAUCCACCUAUUCUUGUUUGGCUUCCUCCUCUAUUUCAUCCAGCUGCAUCACCCUUUCCUUUUUGUCUGUCCCCUCCCCAUCCUCUUCCUUCUCCGUCAGUCAACAUGUCCCAACCCAAUGCAUCUGAGGUUGCACACAGCCGCCAUGAGGCCACAUCUGGAGCUUUACACUGUCUCACAGCAGUAGAUGAUGUGCUGCCACUUACAACCUCUCCACCUCCUCAAAUACUCUCAUCAGCUCAACCAGGAAAGGCUUUUCUUGACUUUGAUGAUCAUGACAACGCACCUGAUGUGGACUGUGACAAGGGCUCCCAAAUAAAGGAAAGAUAUGAUACACCAGAAGGACAAACUUCAGCUACAGCUGAUGCUCAUCAUAAUGUUCUCUCUGCAACUACAAGAAAAACUGAAAUCAACUCAUCGCAGGACAACCACACGCCAUCAACACCAAAGGAAACAGACACAUUGAUGGAGAAAGAAGCUACUCUGCUCCAAUCAACAGCAGCAUCUAGUCUGUCAUCAGUUACAUAUUCAACCGUCAUCACAGAACUAAGCAGAAGAAAACCAGUCGUGCUCCUCAAGCGUCUCAUUCCAUCAGCUGGUGGUUAUCAGUGUGAAAAGUGCUGCCAGACAUUUACCAGUACAUCACUGUUGGUUCAACACAUGUCGCAGCAUGAAGGAAAAUCCUCUGUGACGAGUGAAUUAUCUGUCACGAAUGACACGAGUCAGGCAGAUCUCACCGAUCACCAGAUGUUAAACCAGUUAAAGAUGGAGUUGUGCUUCCCCUGCAACAUCUGCGACCGAUCGUUCACUACGCCUCAGAAGCUCAAACGCCACAAACUGCUCCACGUCAGAGACUGCAGGAAGUGCCUCAAGUGUGGCGUGAUUUUCUGCCGACGUCACAAUCACGUCGCCUUCCUGCCGAAGGCUGACAUUAGGGUGGAGGAUGAGGAAGAGCUGCCAGUGAGCAAGGCACAGAGUCUUCUUCCUUCUCCACCUUUGACUUCUUCUUUUCCUCCUACUUCAUCUAUUCCCAUUCCAAAACCCAAUGUACCUGUAGUUGCUCGCAAAACUCUGAAGAGACGUCCAAAAUUAUAUCUAAACGUACGGCCUGAGCCUCACAGUUUGAACACACCUCCACUUCCUGAGCCUCUCCUAUUCCCAGACCAAGCUGGUACCUUUCCCAAGGUUCCCGAAGCUCCGUUUGGCUUUUCCAGUCUCCCAUCUGCACUGAAGAUGUUUUCACCAGAGUGCCUCACCUCAGCCUUCUUUAAGGUUCAAAGAAAUUAUCAGCAUAUUGCAAGCAAUCCCAAACCGUGUAAGAUGAAGCGUGAAGUUAAAGAGGAGCAGCCUGAGCAACCACCGCCGCGUAAGCCACGCACCAAAAAAGUGCAGAGAAUAGCGUACGACUUGGAGUUUAUACUUUAACGUUGGAGGGAAUAUGUGACGACUGUAAAACCUCAAGGUUUGUGUGAAUUGUUUGUUAUGAUGGAGAUAAUUUUACAGUUUUUAAAACCUUCAAUUUUGGUGCUAAAUGUAAAGAAGAAAAACAGUAUUUUGUACUUGUGUGAAUCUACCUGCUGAGCUCCACUUUAGUGGAGUUGUGAGAUUAAGACGGUUUAAUUCAGUCUUCCUUUGAGGGGAAUGUAAGUCAACCUGUAAUGCUGCUGUUUUUAAUGAUGAAAUAAAUUUUUAUGUAAAAUAUUCCA